GGCUACGGCAUCAAGAAGCUCGACGGCCGCCACUUUAAGGGUCAGUUGAUGCAGAUGACUGUAAUGGUUCCGCCCAGCUUUCCUAAGGAAAUUCAAUACUUGAACAAGGAAGACCUGCUUCUGCGUUGGCUGGUGGUGAAGCACAGGGGUGUCAAAUAUGGCUUCGAAUCCUUAUACGAGGACGAAGGCCGGGAUGAGUUACAAAUGUUCCAUCCCAAAGAUGGACCGCUCGCUGAAAAUGGGGACGAUGACGAUGAUAGUGUCGAGGAAGAUGAUGGCGAUGAGGAGUACGAUCUGGAGAAGUAGCAGCAUGCUUGAUUUUUUAGUUUUUG
rnacentral:misc_RNA from 1 species